GCGCGCUUUCCUCGUCUCCCGACUUCUUGCACGUGCAGCGGUGUGAGACGGGCUGCAGCGAUCGAGAGCGUUCCAGGAGCGCAGUAUACAUCUGGAGCGAAGAGGGAGACGCAGACAUGUCGUCUUCUCGGUGGCUGCCGUCCGGUGCUGCGAUGGUCGUCGUCGUGCUGCUGUCCGUCGACCCGCGGGCGAAAAGACUCGCUCUCGGUGCGAGUGUGGCGCCAAGGCGUACUGCGUUGGAUGUCAUCUGCGACCUCCCCCCAGAUGUGAACGAUCAGCUGAGGAACACUACUAAGAAAUGCGAAGAAAUGUUUCCGCAAUCGGUUGCCAGCCUGAGCGACCACAGGAAUAACGAAUGCCUGAAGCAAGUGGCCGGGCCCGAGGCCAAUGAACAAAGACCCGGGACGUCUUCUGUGCUCAGCGGGGACUCUUCCAACCAUACAUCGACUGCGUGAUGAAAACACAGAGGGAGAUGCUGAAGGCCUACGCCAAACUUUCAGCGACGGAACUGCGGGCUGUUCGCGACGGACUUGUAUGCAUGCUGACAACAUGGAAUGAGCUGCUCCGUACUUAAUACCAAGCGGAUCUGGAUUAAAAAAAAAAAAAAAAAAAA
rnacentral:lncRNA from 1 species